rnacentral:tRNA from 1 species
GGUGGCUCACUGGUAGAGUGCUUGCCUUGCAUGCCUGAGGCCCUGGGUUCGAUUCCCCAGCACCA